rnacentral:tRNA from 1 species
UUAAUUGAAGCUAUAUAGCAAAUUAUUGUUAAUAAUUUAUUUGAAUAUAAAAUUAUUCCAAUUAAU